UACGUAGGGGGCAAGCGUUAUCCGGAUUUACUGGGUGUAAAGGGAGCGUAGACGGCGCUGCAAGUCCGGAGUGAAAGCCCAUGGCUUAACCAUGGUACUGCUCUGGAAACUGUGGAGCUUGAGUGCGGGAGGGGCAGGCGGAAUUCCUAGUGUAGCGGUGAAAUGCGUAGAUAUUAGGAGGAACACCGGCGGCGAAGGCGGCCUGCUGGACCGUAACUGACGUUGAGGCUCGAAAGCGUGGGGAGCAAACAGG
rnacentral:rRNA from 1 species